rnacentral:rRNA from 1 species
CACGUAGGGGCCAAGCGUUGUCCGGAUUUAUUGGGCGUAAAGAGCUCGUAGGCGGUUCGACAAGUCGGGUGUGAAAACUCCGGGCUCAACCCGGAGACGCCACCCGAUACUGUCGUGACUGGAGUCCGGUAGGGGAGUGGGGAAUUCCUGGUGUAGCGGUGAAAUGCGCAGAUAUCGGGAGGAACACCAGUGGCGAAGGCGGCACUCUGGGCCGGUACUGACGCUGAGGAGCGAAAGCGUGGGGAGCGAACAGG